rnacentral:precursor_RNA from 1 species
UGCGUUCAUUCUGUUUGGCCUGGUGUUCUUUCAGCAGGCGGGACAGCAUGGUCGCAGU